rnacentral:piRNA from 1 species
UGCCAAAGAACUUGCCCUGAGGGCCAGCACC